GACGAACGCUGGCGGCGUGCUUAACACAUGCAAGUCGAACGAAGUGGCGAACGGGUGAGUAACGCGUAAUCAACCUGCCCUUCCGAGGGGGACAACAGUUGGAAACGACUGCUAAUACCGCAUACUGAAGGAGGGGAUUGCGUCGGAUGAGCUAGUUGGAGGGGUAACGGCCCACCCAGGCGAUGAUCAGUAGCCGUCCUGAGAGGGGGACCGGCAACAUUGGGACUGAGAUACGGCCCAGACGCCUACGGGAGGCAGCAGUGGGGGAUAUUGCACAAUGGGCGAAAGCAUGAUGCAGCGACGCCGCGUGGGGGAUGAAGGCUUUCGGGUUGUAAACCUCUUUCGCUAUCGAACGGGUAGGUGGAGAAGAAGCGCCGGCUAACUACGUGCCAGCAGCCGCGGUAAUAC
rnacentral:rRNA from 1 species